GGGCGAUGACGAUGAAAACUUACCAUCAAACUAUGAAAGCUUGAUCAAAUCUUGUUGAUGUUAUCGAAUCAUUACUCUCUGAGCUU